ACCACACUGCAGCAGUUUGGCAGUGACAUCUCCCCAGAGAUUGGGGAGCACGUGCGCACACUGGUGCUGGGCCUGGUGGUGAGUUGGGCAGGGGCAGCCGGGGCCUUGGGAUGUGCAUAUUCCCUCCGUUUAAUGAGGUUGCAGCCACGGCCACUCCUUACGUGGGCUCCACGCUGACAACCGGGCGGGGACUCGCUCCCACGAUGCCACCUGCACCCUCUCAGGCCGUGCCCAGCUCCUGGGCUGCCUGCCCGCCUCCAACGCGGAGCCGCCUCCUCAGGCAUGGGUGGGUCGGCGCUGGCUCGUAUGCCGAGCGGUGCUGAUGUGAGGUGGGUUUUCUCCCCUGCAGAACUCAACGCUGACGAUCGAGGAGUUUCAUUCCAAGCUUCAGGAGGCCACCAACUUCCCUCUGCGGCCGUUUGUCAUUCCUAGCUGAGCAUUGUAUGCACCUAUGAUCCCAGCUACCCGGGAGGCUGAGGUGGGAGGAUUGCUUGAAUCCAGGAGGUCGAGAUUGCAGUGAGCUGUGAUCGCACCACUUGCACUCCAGCCUGGGCGACAGAGCAAAACCCUGUC
rnacentral:lncRNA from 1 species